AUGCACGCUCAUCAGACACCACAAAAGGUGUUAAUUCAUCCAGACAGCAGGACGGUGGCCAUGGAAGUCGGAAUCCGCUAAGGAGUGUGUAACAACUCAC
rnacentral:rRNA from 1 species